UGACGGUACUGUAAGAAUAAGGACCGGCUAACUCCGUGCCCGCAGCCGCGGUAAUACGGAGGGUCCAAGVNNAMCCCGGAAUCAUUGGGUUUAAAGGGUCCGUAGGCGGGYAAUUAAGUCAGAGGUGAAAUCCCACMGCUCAACUGUGGAACUGCCUUAVCUAACUGGUUGUGCUUGAGUUAUAGUGAAGUAGAUAGAAUAUGUAGUGUAGCGGUGAAAUGCAUAGAUAUUACGAUACGAAUACCGAUUGCGAAGGCAGUCUACUAACUGUAUACUGACGCUAGAUGGACGAAAGCGUGGGGAGCGRACAGGAUUAGAUACCCUGGUAGUCCACGCCGUAAACGAUGGUCACUAGUUGUUGGGGUCUUGUACCUCAGUGAUUAAGMGAAAGUGAUAAGUGACCC
rnacentral:rRNA from 1 species